AAAGACUCCAUUUCCAUCAAUUGUACAUAGUUCAAUAAUUCUAAUAAAAGACGGAAAACAAAUAUUAUCAGAAAACAAAUGAAAAACAUAAGAGAGUAUUUAACUUAACAUUGUAGUAACAAAAUGAGAUUCAUAAAAUACAACAUGUACAUCCAUCAUCUCAUUAGCACACAAAAGCAUUAGAAAUUAAGAGAGUAAUUAUUUUUUUUUUACUUGACAAAGUAUGGAAGAUCCAAAACAUAAAGAAGGAAGUAAGCCCAAGUAACACCAGAAAUGCCUCCAAAGAAAAACCCACCAGUGAACUUGGCCCAACCAUCAGCUGUUUGAAGCGGAUCGGGCUGCUUCUUACGGCCCGUUAAGGUCAAUGAUGGUGCGGUCGAUGGAUCGCCUUCGUUGAAGGAAGAAAUCCCGUAGAUUGUUAGGGUAAGGCUAAGGAUAACAACAAGCCCGGCAGCUGCGAGAGAGCCCGCUGAUCCAGCAUAUUCGGUGUUCCUUAGAG
rnacentral:lncRNA from 1 species